GGAUGAUGGUUUAACACGGCUUCGUUUCGCCAUAUCCACAAUUCCACAUAUAGAAAGCAGCAGAUGGUAGGGGUUUAUACUCUAUCCUUAAACCCCGCCCCUGAAACCCAUAAUCUUCCCCUACCUCUCGCCUCUUCGCUUGCAUUCAAAAUCAUCGCCACCAAAACCUAUAAACAGAAACUCCAAAUAGAAAACAAAUGCUUGUCUGUCGCUCUGCUUCAAUGCUUCAUUUGUACAAACUAUCAUCUUCGUCUACACUGUUACUGUCACAAUUGAAGCACUCUUAUUCUUAUCUCUCUAAUUCUCCUCCAUCCUCUUUAUUUUUUCCAUCGUCUUCUCUCAGAAUUCGCUUCUUUUCGCUUAAUAAUUCCUAUGGAAGAGGUAAUCGGCGUUUUUCCAUUUCAGCCACCGCUGUUGUCCCUGAUAAAGGGGGAACCGACACGUUCUUCGCCGAAGAAGGCGUUUCGUGGGCUUCUUUGGGCUUAUCUGAUCGGCUUUGCCGUGCUAUCUCUAACGCUGGCCUUGAAAGACCGUCUUUAGUUCAGGCUAACUCCGUACCGGCAAUACUCUCGGGGAAGGAUGUGGUAGUUGCAGCUGAGACUGGUAGUGGUAAAACACAUGCCUACCUAGUUCCUUUAAUUGACAAGUUAUACAAUCCACUGGACUAUAAUAGAGACUCCGUCUCUGAUCAAGGAUUAAACCCGUCAGAUAGACUUUCUUUGGUUCUUUGCCCAAAUGUAUUGUUGUGUGAACAAGUGGUUCGAAUGGCUAGUGGUCUUUGUGAUGAUAAUGGCGAACCACUGCUUAAAGUCACUGCCAUCUGUGGCCGACAGGGAUGGCCAGUUAAUCAGCCAGAUAUUAUUGUGUCAACACCAGCUGCUCUUCUAAAUAAUAUUGACCCCAAAAAACAGAGAAAGUUUAAUUUUAUUCGUCGUGUGAAAUAUGUGGUUUUUGAUGAAGCAGACAUGCUUCUCUGUGGGAGCUUCCAGAAUCAGGUUAUCCGACUAAUAAACAUGCUCCGUUUUGAUGAAAAGCAAUUGUCUGAAGUAAAUAAAUCUGGACAUGAGGAUAGAGUGGAAUCAGAUUCUGAUUCUCAUGGGGAGAAUGGCUUGGAAGAUGAAGAGGGACUUCAAAAUGAAUCUAUCGCAGAAGAGGAUGGAGAUUUUGAAGAUGAUAUUGAAGUUGACUUGAAAGCAGAAAGUGAAGCGGGGUCCAUCAACAGAAAAGGCUGGAGGAGAGUAAGAAAAGAUUAUUUGCGCAGUAAGCAGUACAUUUUCAUUGCAGCCACCCUACCAGUUAACGGAAAGAAAACUGCUGGAGCAGUGUUGAAACGGAUGUUUCGAGAUGCCAAUUGGAUUAGUGGAACCUAUCUACACUGUCACAACCCUAGGUUGGAACAUAAGUGGAUUGAAGUUACAGUUGAUUCCCAAGUGGAUGCACUAAUAGAUGCUGUGAACCAAGGAUCUGGAUCUGAUGUUGGUGCAAGUCGAACUAUGGUUUUUGCAAACACUGUGGAUGCUGUUGAAGCAGUGGCUAAAAUAUUGGAGAGAGCAGGGAUUGAAUGCUAUCGUUACCAUAAAGACACCUCUUUGGAGGAACGUGCAAAGACAUUAAUGGAUUUCCGAGAGAAAGGUGGAAUCUUUGUAUGCACUGAUGCUGCUGCACGUGGAGUUGAUGUUCCAAAUGUGUCACAUGUUAUCCAGGCAGAUUUUGCUACCUCUGCUGUAGAUUUCUUGCACAGGGUUGGCCGCACGGCUCGAGCUGGUCUAUAUGGACUUAUCACUAGCCUGUACACUGAAUCCAAUCGAGAUCUUGUUGAUGCAAUUCGUCAAGCAAAGAAACUGGGUCAGCCAGUGGAAUCAGCCUUUAGCAGAAAAAGAAGCUUCAGAAAAAAACUUAAGAAGAGAGAUGCUAUCUCCGAAACCGAGCACAAAGUUGCAGUGCAUUAAAAUUUUUGCUAAUGCUCAUGCCUGCCAAAAUUUUUACUUGACAAGGUUCUGGCAAAGUCAGCGACGCAUCAGCUAAUGCAAUGGCAAGCGUCUGAAGAACUUGCAUACUGGAAAUUAAUUAACGCCAAAGGCCACCUUAUAGAGAACUCGGGCAUGUGAAUUUCAUCUUUCAUAACACGCAUGUUUAUUAUAUUUAGUACUUAACUCACUUAUUGGUUGAUAUGAUCCUCUUGUUUAGUGUAUGAACUUUUGCAAUUUAUUCUACUUUGGCGGAUUCUGUUUAUUUAGAAAUAUAUAUUUAUCGGAUAUCAGAUAUUCUGAUGUCCUCACAAAAUGUUAGACAGUGACAAGUCUUCAAUGAGAAUCAAGUGUCUAUGGAUUUGCUUUCA